rnacentral:rRNA from 1 species
GAUUAACGCUAGCGGCAGGCAUAAUACAUGCAAGUUGAACGAGAUUAGUUUAGCAAUAGACUAUGAAAGUGGCGCACGGGUGCGUAACACGUAUGCAACCUGCCCUUGACUGGAGAAUAGCCUCUCGAAAGAGAGAUUAAUGUUCCAUAACAUAUAGGUUAAGCAUUUAAUUUAUAUCAAAGCUCCGGCGGUCAAGGAUGGGCAUGCGGUUGAUUAGGUAGUUGGCGGGGUAACGGCCCACCAAGCCUACGAUCAAUAGCUGAUGUGAGAGCAUGAUCAGCCACACGGGCACUGAGACACGGGCCCGACUCCUACGGGAGGCAGCAGUAAGGAAUAUUGGGCAAUGGACGAAAGUCUGACCCAGCCAUGCCGCGUGGAGGAUGAAGGCCUUAGGGUUGUAAAGAUCUUUCAGUGGGGAAGAUAAUGACUGUACCCACAGAAGAAGCCCCGGCUAACUCCGUGCCAGCAGCCGCGGU